rnacentral:rRNA from 1 species
AACGAACGCUGGCGGCAGGCUUAACACACGCAAGUCGAACGCAACCUUCGGGGUGAGUGGCAGACGGGUGAGUAACGCGGGGGAACGCGUACUUCAGUUCGGGAUAUACCAGGGGAACUUGGGCUAAGACAGGGUAGGUGAGACAGCAGAAAGAUUUAUCGAGGAAGGAGCGGCCCGCGUGUGAUUAACUAGUUGGUGGGGUAAUGGCGCACCAAGGCGACGUUCAGUAGCCUGUAUGAGAGGAUCAUCAGCGACCUUGGGAGGGGGAGACGGCCCGAACUCCUACGGGAGGCAGCAGUGGGUAAUAUUGGACAAUGGGCGCAAUCCUGAUCCAGCCAUGCCUCGUGAGUGAUGAAGGCCUUAGGGUUGUAAAGCACUUUCGUCCGGGACAAUAAUGACGGUACCUGAAGAAGAAGCCCCGGCUAACUACGUGCCAGCCGCCGCCGUAG